GGGUAUAGUUCAGUGGUAGAAUGCUUGCCUAGCAUGUGUUAGGUCCUGGGUUUGAUUCCCAGCACUGCA
rnacentral:tRNA from 1 species